rnacentral:lncRNA from 1 species
CGAAAUGGGAGAUCCGACCGGAUCACGGUCGCGGGUCGGGUUGGAUCCGAUUCUUUUUCCUCUCUCUCCCCGUGAGCUUCUCUCUUUUCUUUUUCUUUUUUUCUCUCUAUAUAAAUGGCUAGGCAAAAGUCAAAGAAAAUAUGGUGUGGGUGUUUGUACUCAAAAUUCACUUGUAAUCAUGUCCGAAUGAUUAGAAAAAUUGGUGUUGUCAUGUUGUGGAUGUUUGUUGUAAAAGAUUAAUGGGUUUCAAUGUAUGUUGAAUUUGUAGAAAAAUUAUUUUUUAUAUUAAUU